AUUGAACGCUGGCGGCAGGCCUAACACAUGCAAGUCGAGCGGUUGAAGGGUGCUUGCUCCUGGAUUCAGAGGCGGACGGGUGAGUAAUGCCUAGGAAUCUGCCUGGUAGUGGGGGAUAACGUCCGGAAACGGGCGCUAAUACCGCAUACGUUCUGAGGGCGAAAGUGGGGGUUCUUCGGACCUCACGCUAUCAGAUGAGCCUAGGUCGGAUUAGCUAGUUGGUGGGGUAAAGGCCUACCAAGGCGACGAUCCGUAACUGGUCUGAGAGGAUGAUCAGUCACACUGGAACUGAGACACGGUCCAGACUCCUACGGGAGGCAGCAGUGGGGAAUAUUGGACAAUGGGCGAAAGCCUGAUCCAGCCAUGCCGCGUGUGUGAAGAAGGUCUUCGGAUUGUAAAGCACUUUAAGUUGGGAGGAAGGGCAGUAAGUGAAUACCUUGCUGUUUUGACGUUACCAACAGAGUAAGCACCGGCUAACUUCGUG
rnacentral:rRNA from 1 species